AAGAAAUGAAGAAGCUACGGUUGGUCUUAGAGGUGAAGUGAAGACGCUCAGAUCCAACUCUGAUCUUGCACUAAAC
ensembl:snoRNA SNORD19C small nucleolar RNA, C/D box 19C